rnacentral:lncRNA from 1 species
GUCCUGGUUUGCUAGGGCUGAUGGAUCAAAGAACCAGCGAUGGGUGGUUUACAUAACAGGAAUGGAUGAUGGCACCCUUCUGAGGAGGCUUAAAGUCGGAGACCAUAGUAGGUGUUUCAGUGUUAUCGCGGCCAUAACCAAAAGCCCUGACAAGAACAAUUUCAGAGGAGGAAAAGUACUUGGUGCUCAUGGUUUCAGAAGUCCGACUCCAAAGACACUUGGCUCCAUAGCUCUGGGCCUGGGGUAGGUGGACCACCAUGGCCGAAGGGCACGGCAGAGGGAAGCAGCUCAGGAUGUGGCAAAAAGAGAGAGAGGUCUGUUCACCACGGACAAAUAGAUAACCUAAAGCCCACCCCCUCGGCCACCUCCUCCAGCCACACCCUACCUGCCUGUAGUAGUUACCACCUGUUAGUGGAUGAAUGCACCAAUUAGAUCAAGGCUCUCCUAACCCAGUCAUUUAACCUCUAAGUUUUGUUGCAUUGUCUCACAAAUGAGUUUUUUGGGGACACCUCAUAUCUAAACCCUGAGAACAGGGUUUUUCCUUCUGAGGGCUGGGAGGGAAGGAUCAGCUCCAGGUCUCUCUCCUUGGCUUGUAGAUGGUCAUCUUCACAUCACGUGGCACAUUCUCCCUGUAUGCAUGACUGUCUUCAAACUUCCCCUUUAUUAUAGGGACACUGUCACAUUGGAUUAGGGCCCAUCCUAAAGACCUGAUUUAGCCUUGAUCAUCUCUGUAAAGACCCUGUCUCUAGGUAGGGUCACAUUCUGAGGUACUAGGGGUCAGGAUCCAACAUGUGAAGUUUUGAGGGUGGAGGUGCACAGUUUAAGCUACAACAGAAAUACUGCAUGCAGCACACUCAGUGUGGGCACAGGGUAAGCACGCUGUAAACCACUAUCACUGCUGUUGACGUGAUCUCUCAGCCCUCGUCUCCAGCCCCCAUUUCCACCCCAGUAUCCACCUGUUCCCUAGUUGCUUUCUGCUCUGUUCCUCCCACCUUGAACUUUAUUUUCUAUCCUCCCUGGCCUGUGGAUUCCAUCACCACCCUCAAGAUGGGAAAGGGUUGCUGGGAAUGGUGUGACAAAGGCGGAGAUCAUUGGGCUUGGGAAUUGCAUGUCCAGGCCGCUGCUCUGAGGCUAGUCCUGGCUGAUUAUCUGCAGCCUGACUCCUGCCCCUUUGGUGGAAUGCUCUGGGACUUGCUUACCCUAUCCUCUAGUGAAAGACAGAGGUGGUAGCUCCGAAUUUAGACCUUGAGGUCCAUUACUCUUAGCUUAAGGAUGGGAAAACUGCAGCCUGUGGGUGCCAUCCGGCCUGCUGCCUCGUGGUUGUUUUUGUGGGACAGUUAUGUCCAUCCAUUUACAUACUGUCCAAAGUGGCUUUCAUCCUACAUCUGCAGCAUUGGGUGGGUGCAACAGAGAUCAACCACGUGACCUGCAAAACUGAAAGUAUCUGGCCCCUUACAGAAAAAGAUUGCUGACUCCUGUCCUAAUGUGGCAGGGGCUCUCCCUGAACGAAGAAAAGGCUAUGUGCCACAGUUUAUGUGCGUGCCAACUCUGCCAUAAAUCUGUUCCGACUCUGUCAUAAUUCAGUUAUGCGUGAUGCUGUUGCAACUUUGUUCCAACUGCAUAGCAUAAGAAUACCCAAACAAAAUGUGUAUUACCUUAUAUGGGAGCCGGAGAGCUUACAAGAGGUAUAUAAGGAGAUGCCUCCCUGCGUUUGGGGCUUGGCCUUUGGAUAAUAAACUGCUGUGCAUGUUGGCACAAAAUAAACACCACUUCCUGUUGCCCCGGUGCCCACCUCUCUCUGCUUGCAAAUCCCACAAAACUAGCUCUAUGAUCUUGGGUAAAUAUCUUAACCUCUCUGUGCACCCUGCAAACCCCAUUUAUUCAUUAGAGAUGGCGUUGGCAAAUUUCUCAUGAGGGUUUUGUGAUGAUUAAAUGAGCCAAUAAUAUAGUGCCACAUUGGCUUUUCGUUUUUCUUUUUCUUGUUUUGGUAUGGGGGAUUAAACCCAGGGGUGCUUUAUAACUCAGCCAUGUCCCCAGUCCUUUGAAAAUUUUGAGACAGGGAUUCAUCAGGUUGCUAAGGGUCUCACUAAAUUGCUGAGGCUGACCUCAAACUUGUAACCCUCCUGUCUCAGCCUUCCGAGAGGCUGGGAUUACAGGUGUGUGCCACCUUACCUGGCUACAUCAGCGAUUAACAUUAUUACACAAGUCACGGCCAAGCUCCAUGGACUCAGAGCCACAUGCUCUCACCUGGGGUGUAAUCAGGACCAAAGACCCUUGCAACUUGGCCUCUUUAAACCUAUACCCUCAUCCUGCCCGAGAAGACCUCCCCAGGCCACUUCUGGCUUGCAUGGAUAGCUGUGCAGAGCCUCUCUGGCUUUCCUUCCAGCUGCCCCAGCCCCAGCUGUCACCCUCGCCCCAGCCUAUACCAUCUCAUUCAGUGACUAUUAAUUGAGAACCCAUUAGGUGUGCAGAGGCUUGAGCUGAGCAUCCACGGGACUAGAGAUAAAAACAACACAGUCCCUGCCCUUAUCGCACGAGCUCCUUCCAUCCCUUACAUAACUGGGUGCCUGGUAAAGACUUGGACCUUAUCAUUUUUGAAGCUGAAAAACUUGAAAAAAUUGUGUGCAGUGCCUAUCUCCAGGGUGGAGGCUGGAAUUUACCUUGAGGGCAGAAUGUCCCUUUGUUCUUGGCAGAACCUCUCGAGUGGGCCCUUGUAGUUAUGUAAACGAGAAGCAAGUGCUGGCCCAGGUUCUCGGAGAGGACCUGCAUGCGAUUGCUUCAGACUGAGUGUCAGAUGUGCUGCUUAGUAAUGUAAAUCAGGAGGUAUUUCAGCGGAACCCUGACUCUGCAAAUUAUGUUUCCUUUAGAGAAAUGUUUCCUUUCUAAUUCUGGAUCGAGACUGCCCAGUGCCUGUAAAUUGCUGCAUUUGUACGAGGUUGCAGAAAUUCUGGGAGCAGUUGUCCCUGGCUGUACUUUUGGAGACCCAGGUUUCAGAAAGGAUACCACCAUGGGAUUCCUGCAGUUAUUGCUCCGUUGGAAGAUCCCAUCCUUGAGGGUCGGUGGGGGUCAGUUUCACUGCGUGGGGAGGUUGGGUUUGAGGAUCUGGGAGGCAGGUCUGGACUCCAGGCAGGGCAGGCUGGCUGGCAACCAGUUAGGGAAGCUGUCUGAUAAGACGGUCUGGGGUUGGGCUCAGGCCGGGGAGUUCCGAGUGGCAGCUCUAAACUCUGCUUUAUGUCACACUUUUCCUUUCAUGAGUCCCAAGCCUUCUGUGAAUCUUGCUCCAGUCACAGUGGUUCUCAGCAGCCAUGAACGGGGGUGAGGGACUGGUGAAGAGAGAGAGAGAGAGGUAAUCCAAGGUUUAAAAGGAGCAGCCAAUUCUGAGGGAGGACACCAGAGGUGGACAUCAGUGGUGCAUCAGGAGAGGACAGCUGGGGUCAGCAGCUUGGUGACCUCGCUGAGACCUUUGAGGGGGGAGGGGGCCCAUUCUGGAGCACUCAAGGCUGUCUUUGGAAACUCCUGGAAGUAGCUGGAGGGCAGUUGAAGGGCAAACCUCCAGCCCUUAGGGGAGGUUCUCCUGGAUUAGGCAAAACCAGCCUCCUGUCAUCCUGCAUUUCUCUGCCUGUUAAACAAAACUGCACAGUCAUGGUCCCUAGUUCCUUUGGUCCUGGAAUAAUUCACUGUCACCUUUCCCCCAUUGAUAUUUGGGAUCUAUGUAAAUUUAACGUCUGUCUGGCCUGUUGAUGUUGGACAUGACAGAGAACACUGAAACAAGACCACUCGAGAGACUUUCUCCAACAGCCCAGACCCUUCAGUUCUUAUGAACAGGUGCUGAAAGUCACAGGUGCCAAGAGCCCACAUGAGGGAUAUGGGAAGGGACUUCCCAGAACAAGCAUCCCUAAAACAGGGCAAUGGGCAGGAUGGCCUGAGGUCCUCUAGGAAUUUGUUGUCAUGGGGAUGAAAGGAGGUUGUCACCAUGGUAGAAUCUGGUGUUUCUUGUUCUUACCCAAGUAUAUGCUGAAUGUCCACUUUUGAGCGUGGCAGGUGAUAUGUGUCUUCAGCAUCCCAUGGUGAGUCACUCAGUAAAUCUCUCCCUGUGCCCGAUGCCCCACCGUGUCCACCAGAGCUGGUCCCAGGAAUGUCCUCCAUGGGGGGACAGGGGCACUGCUCUUGGGCUGGAGUUAGCUACGUGCACAGAGGCAGCAAAUAAAGGC